rnacentral:rRNA from 1 species
GACGAACGCUGGCGGCGUGCUUAACACAUGCAAGUCGAACGGAAAGGCCCUGCUUUUGUGGGGUGCUCGAGUGGCGAACGGGUGAGUAACACGUGAGUAACCUGCCCUUGACUUUGGGAUAACUUCAGGAAACUGGGGCUAAUACCGGAUAGGAGCUCCUGCUGCAUGGUGGGGGUUGGAAAGUUUCGGCGGUUGGGGAUGGACUCGCGGCUUAUCAGCUUGUUGGUGGGGUAGUGGCUUACCAAGGCUUUGACGGGUAGCCGGCCUGAGAGGGUGACCGGCCAAAUUGGGACUGAGAUACGGCCCAGACUCCUACGGGAGGCAGCAGUGGGGAAUAUUGCACAAUGGGCGGAAGCCUGAUGCAGCAACGCCGCGUGCGGGAUGACGGCCUUCGGGUUGUAAACCGCUUUCGCCGGUGACGAAGCGUGAGUGACGGUAAUGGGUAAAGAAGCACCGGCUAACUACGUG